rnacentral:tRNA from 1 species
CGGUGGUCGAGGUCCGCGCGGAGGACCGUCCCGGCCUGCUGUGCCGGUUGGCCGCGGUGUUCGAGACGCACGGCACCGAC